rfam:Salmo salar isolate Sally breed double haploid chromosome ssa12, whole genome shotgun sequence.
UGCAUUCACUAUUGUAAGUCGCUCUGGAUAAGAGCGUCUGCUAAAUGACUAAAA